UUCUUCUUCUUUGAAUCUCAUCAGUGACCGCAACUGACCUUCAUUCUUCUUCUUCAAUACUUAUCAGAGACAAUUGUUCAAGUUAGAAAAUAGUUUAAUUGAGAAAAUCAUUCAAGUGAGCUUUGGUAUUUUUCGUUCAAUUUGGUCUGAAUCAUUCAAGGAAUCAGGAUUCUCUCAGUGAAAGGUCUUCUUCUCAGGAUCAUAACACUGAAGGGGUGAUUAUUCUCUUAUAACUGUACAAAUGCCAAAGAAUUGGUAAUUUGCAUGAGGUUGGUUU